rnacentral:rRNA from 1 species
GAUCAUGGCUCAGGAUGAACGCUGGCGGCGUGCUUAACACAUGCAAGUCGAGCGAAGCGAUUUAAAUGAGACUUCGGUGGAUUUUAAAUUGACUGAGCGGCGCACGGGUGAGUAACGCGUAUCCAACCUGCCCAUCACUUGGGAAUAACCUUGCGAAAGUAAGACUAAUGCCCAAUGAUAUCCCACGAAGGCAUCCGAAUGGGAUUAAAAGAUUUAUCGGUGAUGGAUGGGGAUGCG